AGCUCCAAUAGCGUAUAUUAAAGUUGUUGCGGUAAAAAAGCUCGUAGUUGGAUUUCUGCGGGGAACGACCGGUCCACUCAACGAGUGCGCAUCUGGCUCGGUCUCUGCAUCCUCUCGAAAGACGUUUCUGCGCUUGAUUGCGUGGUUCGGAUCUCGGGACUUUUACUUUGAGGAAAUUAGAGUGUUCACGGCAGGCUAUCGCCAGAAUACAUUAGCAUGGAAUAAUACUAUAGGAUCUUGAUCCUAUUUUGUUGGUUUCUAGGAUUUUGAUAAUGAUUAAUAGGGACAAUUGGGGGCAUUCGUAUCAACACGUCAGAGGUGGAAUUCUUAGAUUGUGUUGCGACGAACUACUGCGAAAGCAUUUGCCAAGGAUGUUUUCA
rnacentral:rRNA from 1 species